rnacentral:rRNA from 1 species
ACUCCAGUCGAUGCUGCUGGAGGGAACUGCUAUCAGAUUCCGACAGCCAUGCAAGUCAGCUCACAGGCCUCUGUGGGCGGCACACGGCUCAGUAACGCGUAGUCAAUCUACCAUAGGGAGGCGAAUAACCUUGGGAAACUGAGGCUAAUGCGCCAUAAGCUAGGAUUUCUGGAAUGAUUUCUAGCCAAAAGGUACGCAAAUUGCAGCGCAACCACCCUACGAUGAGACUGCGUCAGAUCAGGCAGAUGGCGGGGUAAUGGCCCACCAUACCUUUGACCUGUAGGGGAUAUGGGAGUAUGAGCCCCGAGAAGGGCACUGAGACAAGGGCCCUAGCGCUACGGCGUGCAG